CCUACGGGAGGCAGCAGUGGGGAAUAUUGGACAAUGGGCGCAAGCCUGAUCCAGCCAUGCCGCGUGGGUGAUGAAGGCCCUAGGGUUGUAAAGCCCUUUCGGCGGGGAAGAUAAUGACGGUACCCGCAGAAGAAGCCCCGGCUAACUUCGUGCCAGCAGCCGCGGUAAUACGAAGGGGGCUAGCGUUGCUCGGAAUCACUGGGCGUAAAGCGCACGUAGGCGGAUUGUUAAGUCAGGGGUGAAAUCCUGGAGCUCAACUCCAGAACUGCCUUUGAUACUGGCGAUCUUGAGUCCGGGAGAGGUGAGUGGAACUGCGAGUGUAGAGGUGAAAUUCGUAGAUAUUCGCAAGAACACCAGUGGCGAAGGCGGCUCACUGGCCCGGUACUGACGCUGAUGUGCGAAAGCGUGGGGAGCAAACAGGAUUAGAUACCCUGGUAGUCCACGCUGUAAACGAUGGAUGCUAGCCGUUGGGGAGCUUGCUCUUCAGUGGCGCCGCUAACGCAUUAAGCAUCCCGCCUGGGGAGUACGGUCGCAAGAUUAAAACUCAAAGGAAUUGACGG
rnacentral:rRNA from 1 species